GGCACGGUGACAUAGUGGUUAGCACUGUUGCCUCACAGCACUAACAUCGCGGGUUCGAUUCCGGCCUGGGGCC